rnacentral:rRNA from 1 species
UACAGGGGGUGCAAACGUUGCUCGGAAUCAUUGGGCGUAAAGCGCACGUAGGCGGUUCGUUAUGUCGGAUGUGAAAGCCCUUGGCUUAACCGAGGAAGUGCAUCCGAAACUGGCGAGCUAGAGUACUAAAGAGGAUCGCGGAAUUCCCGGUGUAGAGGUGAAAUUCGUAGAUAUCGGGAGGAACACCGGUGGCGAAGGCGGCGAUCUGGGUAGAUACUGACGCUGAGGUGCGAAAGCUAGGGGAGCAAACGGG